CUUCCUUCCUCUUUUCUGAGUUGAAAUGAAGGAGGCUGCUCAUCUUCACUAGCCUGUUCCACCACAUCAACCAAAUCUACAGGAGUUCUUCAGAAUAAACCCUUUCAAACAUGAAGAUCAUUGUUUCACUGAAACCUGCCUCAUGGACCUGCCCGAAAUCUCCUAGUAGUGAGGAAAAUUAUUUUCCUUAAAAAGCUGCCGUCCUGCUACUGCAUUUAUUGGCAAAAUCUGAAGGCUUCCUUGCUUUUUCAUGGGAUUUUCCUGACCCAAUGCAGCACGUGGUGGUGCUGGAGAAGAAAUGUGGGUGUGCUGCAGAAACUCUUGCAGCUGAAAGAAAAGCACGUGAAGAAAUGGAUGGUGUCUUCAUCAAUAGCAAAACAUAACUGGAAUUAAGUGCACAUCUGCCAAUGAUGGUCAAGGUAAUGCAAAAUUAUAAAUGUUGACAAGAGAGACCCAGUCCUGCCUCGGCUGGCAGGUGAAGUCACAGAGACAAGAGUUGUAUCAUCAGCUUUGUGUUCAUUUCAAUGAACCUGGUGAAAAGGAAGAAGUGAAACUUACUUCCGUGCUCAAGACAAACAUCCUUUCUUACCUUCUCUGGUUACUGUGUGUCUUCAGAGAGAAUUUGUGUGAAGAUCUGUGAAAAGCCUUUCUCUCUCUUGACCAUUGUUCUCCUAUCACAUCCUACACAUCCUGUCCUACCUUUGCUGGCCACAAGGUAUUUGAAAUGUUUC
rnacentral:lncRNA from 1 species